GGUGUGUCCAAACAUUUGACUGGUAUUGUAUAUCUUACCCCCAGAAUGAAAGAGUACAUCACUUCCAGCAGAUCUCCUUGCUUAGGGUGGUGUUGAUCGUGCACUGCUUCUCGUGGGGCUCGAUGUGCUGUAGUCUCCAGAACUGGACGCUCAUGCUCGGAUCACCCCGGCACAGGACGUCCAUGCAUCAGAUGGUCUGAAGGAUGUUCUGUUGGACUGGAAGACAAAGAUACAUUUAAUCAAUGAUGGAUAUUUUUCAAUGCCGUACCAACAUCUUUAUCUGGACAGAAAAUGCAUUGUUUAUCAUAACACAAACCCCCCUUGGACAAUGUGACAAGUGGUCCAUCAACACCCAAUCCUCAUGCCUCAUUAUUUUUUCUUGUUAGCCAAUCAUCAGUCUGGAUCUUCCACUUAUGCCAUGGUGGAUGAGCUUCCUUUUCUGGUAAAUACAGGGCCCUUUCUCUUUCCCAUUGGAAAAUGGUAGUUGCAGAACCAAGUGUUGUCACUGGGUUUCCGGUCUGCCCAUCUGAAAGAUAAAAAAACAAAAGUUACUUUUACUAGCUAAGUUGAUUUCUAAAAUGUUAACAUCUAUAUUAAAAUACCAUAGCCCACAGAUUUGACUAUAAUAACGGUAAAACAGACUGGGUUUUGGUCUAUCUGCACAUCUAAAGUCCUACUAUGUGGAUUGGACAUUUCUGCUGGGAUGGAGGAAUUAUAUGGAACGGUCAACUAGAUGAUCAGGACAAUUUUAGGGUACUAUUUGCCUGAAGAGGUGAAGUAUUGCGAUGAGCUAUACAACUGUACUUCUGAUUCUAAUUCUCAAGAGGAAAGUUAAAACCGUCAGCCGUGAAGUCACCGAAAGGGACUGACAUGCAGAGAUGUAACAUAAGGAUUUUGGGCACUGGCCAGAUCUAAAUCUGUGGCAUGCGAUGUUUGUAAAGGCAAAAUUGUACUGCUGUGUCAGGCUAGUUUGGCACAUGUUCUACUAAGUAUUUCACUGCUGUCUCAAAAGUUCUAGCCUCGGGCUAGCUUAAUUCCAUCCCUGCUGAUAUGUAUAACUGACUUCACAGGUCAUUUGAUUCGUCAUGUACAGAUGCACUCAUGGAACAAAAACGUUUGUGUUUUGUAUGGGGAAAACAUUGAGCCCACAAGUCCAUUUGUGAGCUAGCUAGCCAACUUUAGCUGAUGUAGCUAACUAGUCAACCAAGGUGCCUAACUAGCUAGGUCACCUGGUGAUAUUUAGCGAGCUAGUUAACAUUAGCUCACCGUUCGUGUAGUUAAACUUUUGUAAAUGGUGACAUGCUAGCUAACCAAUUAUCUUUUCACUGGUGCUGGCCUAAUGUUAGCGAGCAAGUCUGACUACACGACUGGUGAGAACGUUAACUAGCUAGCUAAAUAUCCUUUCCUGGUGGGCUAACGCUAGCUAAAUCAAAAUCGAAUCAAAUGUAAUUGUCACAUACACGUGUUUAGCAGAUGUUGACAAAAGUACACAUCCAGAUAAAGAAAGAUCUCUUAAUAACAAGGGGUUAAAUCUUUUUCCAAUUUUCUCUACAAUAGGAGAGACAUUUUAAUUGGCUCUUUCUUUCUGAUCUUUUCAAACUUUAAUACCAAAAUAUGUGAUCACAUAUUUUACAGGAAUAUUACAUGUUGAGCCUUGUAAAAGUCUGCAAAUAAAAUAAAGCUGUCUUCCAUAA